GACGAACGCUGGCGGCGUGCCUAAUACAUGCAAGUAGAACGCUGAAGGAAGGAGCUUGCUCUUUCUGGAUGAGUUGCGAACGGGUGAGUAACGCGUAGGUAACCUGCCUGGUAGCGGGGGAUAACUAUUGGAAACGAUAGCUAAUACCGCAUAAAAUUGAUUAUUGCAUGAUAGUCAAUUAAAAGGUGCAACUGCACCACUACCAGAUGGACCUGCGUUGUAUUAGCUAGUUGGUGGGGUAACGGCUCACCAAGGCGACGAUACAUAGCCGACCUGAGAGGGUGAUCGGCCACACUGGGACUGAGACACGGCCCAGACUCCUACGGGAGGCAGCAGUAGGGAAUCUUCGGCAAUGGACGGAAGUCUGACCGAGCAACGCCGCGUGAGUGAAGAAGGUUGUCGGAUCGUAAAGCUCUGUUGUAAGAGAAGAACGAGUGUGAGAGUGGAAAGUUCACACUGUGACGGUAUCUUACCAGAAAGGGACGGCUAACUACGUG
rnacentral:rRNA from 1 species